rnacentral:rRNA from 1 species
UUCUCAGCUUUAGCAUUUAAGCUGACAUUUGCUGAUCUUGUCUGAUCUCAGAUGCUAAGCAAGGUGGCCCAGGUCACUAGCUGGAUGGGAGACUGCAUAGGUAUCCCAGCUGCUGUAGGCA